GCUUUUGUUGUUUUUUCAGCGAAAAAGUAGCAACUUUAAAUUAUUUCCCCCUAAAUGAAACGUAAUAAAUCACGUGACUCGUGACGUUUGCGACAUAUAAAAACCCAACACCGCGAGACUUCAGACACUCCAGAUCUCUCCGAUGGGAAGUAGUGUAGUCAGUGAACAUAGCGACUUUGUAACAAUGAUUAUAGCCAUACAGUUGAACUUGCCUAAUAAUGUGACGUCCUCCAGAGAUGACCCGCCUUAAAUAGGCUUCCAUCUGGAGAUGUUGCUGAAGACUUAACUUUGAGAAGGGCUGUGGAGAUGAUCCAUAAGUAGGAAGAAGAGGUGUACAACAAUAACAAAAAAAAGGUUCAGGUGCAUCAGUUGCAAGAGCUGAAUUUUUAAGACCUCUCUUGGCUCUUGAGGACACUGCUGUGUGCUGUAUCUGGGUAAACAAGUCGACACAAGAGCAGUUUGAAGGAAUCAGGAGGCGUGAUGCUUAAUUAAAAUUGAGAGCAAAAUGGUGGAAUGAGCCA